CUCAAGCCUGUAAUCCCAGCACUUUGGGAGGCCGAGGCGGGAGGAUCACUUGAGCCCAGGAGUUCAAAACCAUACUGAGCAAUAUAGUGGAACCCCUAACUCUA